CAUACCCACUAUUCGCCUGAAUACUACAAGCAAAACGCUUGAAACUCAAAGGACUUGGCGGUGUCCCAUAUCAACCUAGAGGAGCCUGUCCUAUAAUCGAUACUCCACGUUAAACCUUACCAUCUUUGGCCACUCCAGCUUAUAUACCGCCGUCGCCAGCUUACCCCAUGAGGGCCCUACAGUAGGCAAAACCGCUCACACAAAAACGUCAGGUCAAGGUGUAGCUUAUAAAAUGGAAGAGAUGGGCUACAUUUUCUAAACUAGAAAAUACGAACAAUGUAAUGAAACCAUACAUUAGAAGGAGGAUUUAGCAGUAAAAUUAAAAGAAAGACAAUUUUAAAUUAAGCUCUGGGACGCGCACACACCGCCCGUCACCCUCAUCAACAACCCUAUUUAUUAACAUAUAAACCAACUCAACAACAAGAUGAGGUAAGUCGUAACAUGGUAAGCGUACUGGAAAGUGUGCUUGGAUUAACAAAAAGUAGCUUAAACCAAAGCAUUCAGCUUACAAUUGAAAAAUGUUAUCGCCACAACCUUUUUGAGCCUACACCUAAGCCCAAAUCUUCCACCAAACCAACCAUACUAAAUUAAACAAAUCAUUUGACAAAAACAGUAUUUGAGAAAGAAC
rnacentral:rRNA from 1 species